AAACCAUGAUGUGGGCACUUCCUAAGAAAAUAUUUAAAUCUCUCCCAUGCCUCAUACAAGGAUUCCAUCUCUAACUGUACGAAAGUAGUGAUGUCAUUAUGCAUUU